CCCAAACACCUGCUCCAAUCCCAUAAAAACCCAAUGGAGUGCCCCAAACCCAAACACCUGCUCCAAUCCCAUAAAAACCCAAUGGAGUGCCCCAAACCCAAACACCUGCUCCAAUCCCAUAAAAACCUCAAUAGAGUGUCCCCAGCCCAACCACAAACACCCCUUCAAAUCCCAUAAAACCCCAAAUGGAGGGGAAGUGGGCUGGGAAAUACUCUCUGCAGUUCCUGGACAGGCAGGAUUUGCCCUCAGAGGUGCUGCCAGCAGCUGGGUGGGAGCCAGCUCUCAUUCAGGGCAGAAUUUCUGUGUCCAAACCCGAGGGUGCUGUGUCCCCAUCCUGGCCCAGCUCUCCCAUGAACCCUUUCCAUGAUGCUUGAGUGGAUUCCUCCCUUUGGAUCAUCUCUUUUUCACUGGAUCCCAGCACAGGACAGCGUUUGCCUCUCCC